rnacentral:rRNA from 1 species
UGGCUCGAGGACGACGCUGGCGGCGUGCCUAACACAUGCAAGUCGAACGGAAGUAGAGACUUCGGUUUUUACUUUAGUGGCGAACGGGUGAGUAACGCGUGAGGAACCUACCUUUCAGUGGGGGACAACAGUUGGAAACGACUGCUAAUACCGCAUGAUACUUUUUGGGGGCAUCCCUGAAAAGUCAAAGCUUUAUGUGCUGAAAGAUGGCCUCGCGUCUGAUUAGCUAGUUGGUGAGGUUAAACGGGCCCCACCAAGGCGACGAUCAGUAGCCGGACUGAGAGGUUGAACGGCCACAUUGGGACUGAGAUACGGCCCAGACUCCUACGGGAGGCAGCAGUGGGGAAUAUUGGGCAAUGGGCGCAAGCCUGACCCAGCAACGCCGCGUGAAGGAAGAAGGCUUUCGGGUUGUAAACUUCUUUUGUCAGGGACGAGUAGAAGACGGUACCUGACGAAUAAGCCACGGCUAACUACGUG